UGGGUUCGACCUGAGCUCAGGCAAGGCUACC
rnacentral:rRNA from 1 species